rnacentral:rRNA from 1 species
UACGUAGGUGGCGAGCGUUGUCCGGAUUUACUGGGCGUAAAGGGAGCGUAGGCGGACUUUUAAGUGAGAUGUGAAAUACUCGGGCUCAACUUGAGUGCUGCAUUUCAAACUGGAAGUCUAGAGUGCAGGAGAGGAGAAUGGAAUUCCUAGUGUAGCGGUGAAAUGCGUAGAGAUUAGGAAGAACACCAAUGGCGAAGGCGAUUCUCUGGACUGUAACUGACGCUGAGGCUCGAAAGCGUGGGGAGCAGACAGG